UUUGUAUAUUCCAAUUCUUUUAUUAUUAUUAUUGUCAUUUUAUUAUUGUUUCAUUAUCAUUAGUAGUUCUUCUUUUCUGUUAUAUUUAAAACGUUCUUAUCUCAACC